rnacentral:lncRNA from 1 species
UAUCGGUUGAUGUUAUUUGUAAAUCGAUAACCGAUAAUUUUCAAAACCGAACCGAACUGACCGAUGCCUACCCCUACUUCUAUGAGCAUUUGCUGUUCUGGGAAAGAAUUUUGUGUUCCUGUCGGAGCUCUGGAUCUUUGUCUCCAAGCCACCUUCUCUUGUUUAGCAAUCUCCUCAAAUUCCAUUGAUACACUUUCAACCGAAAAGUUGUGAGUUCGAGUCUCCCCAAGAGCAAGGUGGGAAGUUCUUGG